UACGUAGGGUGCAAGCGUUAAUCGGAAUUACUGGGCGUAAAGCGUGCGCAGGCGGUUAUGUAAGACAGUUGUGAAAUCCCCGGGCUCAACCUGGGAAUUGCAUCUGUGACUGCAUAGCUAGAGUACGGUAGAGGGGGAUGGAAUUCCGCGUGUAGCAGUGAAAUGCGUAGAUAUGCGGAGGAACACCGAUGGCGAAGGCAAUCCCCUGGACCUGUACUGACGGCUCAUGCACGAAAGCGUGGGGAGCAAACGAGG
rnacentral:rRNA from 1 species